AUUCUAAUUAUUUGUUACAUGAUUAGUCAUAUUAUUCUAAGAUUUCCAGAGUAUUGGUAAAUUGUAGCCUUAAUUAUGUCAUCAAUUUGACUGAUUUCAGGGCAGUGUGAAUGUUUCUUUAUUAUUAUUGUUAUGAAUCUACAGUCUUUUCUUGCCUGGUAAUUUUGCUCAGCUUUCUUGUAUUUAGCCCAAAAUCUCUGGUUGAUGCCAGUGAACGUAUCAUUGAGAAAGAAAACCUUCACAGUUUAAGCAAGUGUUGAGUACCUUUCUACUAUGUGCAAAUUGUCUUUCUUGAUAAUUUUGUUAUGGUCAGUGCAGAGGCUGUAUCUGAUAAUACGCAUAAGAAAAGUUACUUUGAGUCAAUC
rnacentral:lncRNA from 1 species